GACGAACGCUGGCGGCGUGCUUAACACAUGCAAGUCGAACGGAAAGGCCCUGCUUUUGUGGGGUGCUCGAGUGGCGAACGGGUGAGUAACACGUGAGUAACCUGCCCUUGACUUUGGGAUAACUUCAGGAAACUGGGGCUAAUGCCGGAUAGGAGCUCCUGCUGCAUGGUGGGGGUUGGAAAGUUUCGGCGGUUGGGGAUGGACUCGCGGCUUAUCAGCUUGUUGGUGGGGUAGUGGCUUACCAAGGCUUUGACGGGUACCCGGCCUGAGAGGGUGACCGGCCACAUUGGGACUGAGAUACGGCCCAGACUCCUACGGGAGGCAGCAGUGGGGAAUAUUGCACAAUGGGCGGAAGCCUGAUGCAGCAACGCCGCGUGCGGGAUGACGGCCUUCGGGUUGUAAACCGCUUUCGCCUGUGACGAAGCGUGAGUGACGGUAAUGGGUAAAGAAGCACCGGCUAACUACGUG
rnacentral:rRNA from 1 species